rnacentral:RNase_P_RNA from 1 species
AAGGCAAAUGGCCGCUGCUGCGAUACCGAAAGGCCGCAGGAGAGGAAAGUCCGGGCUUCACAGGGCAGGAUGCCAGAUAGCGUCUGGUGGAGGCGACUCCAAGGAAAGUGCAACAGAAAAUUUACCGCCGGAAAGCGCAGCCAGGCUGGGCUUUCCGGUAAGGGUGGAAAGGCAGUGUAAGAGACUACCGCCUGUCUGGUAACAGACAGGGCUGUGUAAACCCCAUCCGAAGCAAGAUCAAGCAGGAAGCAUAAGGCGGCCCGUCUGCUUCCGGGUAGAUCGCUUGAGGCUGCCGGUGACGGCAGUCCUAGAUAGAUGGCCAUUCACGACAUAACCCGGCUUAUCGCUUUGCUCA